CCUACGGGAGACAGCAGUGAGGAAUAUUGGUCAAUGGACGAGAGUCUGAACCAGCCAAGUAGCGUGAAGGAUGACUGCCCUAUGGGUUGUAAACUUCUUUUAUAUGGGAAUAAAAUGUUCCACGUGUGGGAUUUUGUAUGUACCAUAUGAAUAAGGAUCGGCUAACUCCGUGCCAGCAGCCGCGGUAAUACGGAGGAUCCGAGCGUUAUCCGGAUUUAUUGGGUUUAAAGGGAGCGUAGGUGGAUUGUUAAGUCAGUUGUGAAAGUUUGCGGCUCAACCGUAAAAUUGCAGUUGAAACUGGCAGUCUGGAGUACAGUAGAGGUGGGCGGAAUUCGUGGUGUAGCGGUGAAAUGCUUAGAUAUCACGAAGAACUACGAUUGCGAAGGCAGCUCACUGGACUGCAACUGACACUGAGGCUCGAAAGUGUGGGUAUCAAACAGGAUUAGAUACCCUAGUAGUC
rnacentral:rRNA from 1 species